UUAAGGGGGCCCCAAGACCCCCUUCUGCUUUCUCGUUUCUCUGGUCUCCGUUUCUGAAGUUGUCUCCUUAUCCCCUCUUGUUCUUCUACUAGGAACUCUGCUAGGGCACGAAAUUGUCCAUCUCGGAGCUAGCAAGACUCGUACUUCUCCAGCUCACUGCCUUGGCCUUGGAACUGAAGUAACCCUUAGUUUCGAGUUUGUUUUCGUUUGGUUAGCCUCUGAGCAAGAUGGGGCAAGUCCUGGUGGUAGAUCCGAUGGGGGCAGUGGUGCUGCAUAGCUGGACCUGUUUCUUGUGGCUCCUAGGAAUGACGUUUUGGCUCUAGGGUUGUUAUAAAACCCUUGUCCUAGGACAAUGUCUCUUUUGAAAAUUAUCUUUUCUUUUGGUUUUUAAUUGUAGUUAAGGCACUGUGAUUCUGCCUAAGACUUUUACAUAUUUAUGGAUGAUUGUAACAGUGACUUC